rnacentral:lncRNA from 1 species
GAUUUUUGACAAAGGAGCCAAAACCAUCCAAUGGAAAAAAGAUAGCAUUUUCAGCAAAUAGUGCUGGUACAACUGGAGGUCAAGAUGUAGAAGAAUGCAGAUCGAUCCCUGCUUAUCACCCUGUACAAAGCUUAAGUCCAAGUGGAUCAAGGACCUCCACAUCAAACCAGAUACACUCAAACUAAUAGAAGAAAACAGGGGGAAGCAACUCAAACACAUGGGGACUGGAGAAAAUUUCCUGAAGAAAACACCAAUGGCUUAUGCUCUAAGAUCAUGAAUCUACAAAUGGGAUCUCAUAAUACUGCAAAGCUUCUGUAAAACAAAGGACACUGUGGUUAGGACAAAACGGCAACCAACAGAUUGGGUAAGACCUUUACCAAUCCUACAACAGAUGGAGGGCUUAUAUCCAAAAUAUACAAAGAACUCAAGAAGUUAGAACGCAGGAAGACAAAUAACCCUAUUAAAAAAUGGGGUUCAGAGCUAAAGAAAAAAUUC